AUACUUAGGGUGCAAGCGUUAAUCGGAAUUACUGGGCGUAAAGCGCUCGUAGGCGGCUUGUUAAGUCGGAUGUGAAAUCCCCGGGCUCAACCUGGGAACUGCAUUCGAUACUGGCAGGCUAGAGUAUAGUAGAGGCAAGUGGAAUUCCGGGUGUAGCGGUGAAAUGCGUAGAUAUCCGGAGGAGCAUCAGUGGCGAAGGCGACUUGCUGGACUAAUACUGACGCUGAGGAGCGAAAGCGUGGGGAGCAAACGGGAUUAGAAACCCCGGUAGUCC
rnacentral:rRNA from 1 species